rnacentral:piRNA from 1 species
UAAAACACAAAUAGCAGUGUUGUUUCUGAGGC